UUUUUCCUCAUGUCCAUCUGUCGAAUACAAGCUCGUUUCCAUCGAGGACGACCUGCUCAUCGCAUACUUUGAACCCCUCUUCGAGCUGACGGUGCUAAACAUGUCAUUACUGGUGCCGCUCCUACCAGAGACGCUACCAGCACCAAAGAGAUUACGAGAGAUGGUAUCAAGAUUGAGCAUAGAUGGCCGAAGGCGAUGGGUACCAGACGACGGAGUAGUGGGACAAGAAAUGGUGCCGGUGCGGAAUUUGAAGAUCCCAUGAUGGUUGACUAAUCAUCAGCGCAGACUUUUUGAAAUGACUUACUUGUACAAGCUAUCUUCUCUUUGACUUCGUUCAUCUCGAUCACUAUCCUCUCUGCUUCCUCCUUUCCUGCCACACUGUGUGCAUAUCGACAAAGACCACCCGCCAUUGGCUGUAAGUAGACACUCAGUUUUGUAGUUCUCGUGUCUAUCGGCAAUGCAGGACCCAUUCCAUCUUCAUCGACAUGGAUGACGACCUUGCCUUUCCUCUGGCCACACCAUUCAUUCCGGUUCCAAACAUCCCAGAAACAUCUAGCCCGCUCCAAAUCACCGCCUUCCAAAUCAACCUCGGUCUCGCUUUGUAAGACUCGGGGAACGGCCUUGUUCUCUGAAGAUGGUAGCACCUUAGCUCGAGCAAGAGCUUGCGCGGCCCAGAGGUUCUGAAUGAAUCGCAAUUUGUCCUUUUUUGUUGCAACAGGGUCAAGAGAAACCGAAUAGGGAGGAUGAACUGUGGAAUAUGACCGAAAUGAUCUAUUGCCCCAUCGGCCACAUUGAUCGGCAGGAGGGCGUUCGAAGAAAAGGUGAAAGUCACCAUUCCCGACAUCUGAUACCAUCACAUCCAAAAUAUCAACCUCGCCUCUGUAGCUCAACUUGUCCCUCUUUGCAUUGUUCUUUUCCUUCACUGCGAUACCCCCUCCCGACUUCACAAGUCUUUGCACAUCGUCAGUACCGGUAAUUUUCCGACCGCUGAUAGAAGACGAUUGUCGUUUGACAAUCAUAAGCUUGUCAUCAAACAAGAAUAGGGUGCAAUGAAGGAUCGGCAUGGCGGAAGCACCUGAUUGAGGUGAUUGUGGCAUAUGCGAGUUGGUUGAUGGGAGAGAGCCAAACGCUGGCAAAGAUGGUGUUGAGGCGGAAGAAGCUGCAGCGCGAGAAUUAAUGGAGACUGGUCGACCAUUGGGAGAUUGAGCUGUGGGAUAUUCAGCAGGGAUAUCCUCCACGUCGAUUGCGUCGAUGAAGUCCCGGUUGUUACUGAAAAGUUUGGCCUGUAAUUUGCGUCAGUGAUAUGAUGCAUGGCAAAGCCAUGCCACUCACCGGAAAGUCAUCAAUGUUCCUCUCCAAAUUAUACAUAACUGUUGCCCUGACUGUUUGUGCAUCUGGUUCACAUCUUGCAAUACCAGAUGCAAUUUCAAUGGCUUCAAGAAGCUUAGCACGCUGAGUUGAAAGAGGAGACAUGCAUUUGAUCAUCGCUGAACGACCAUUAGU
rnacentral:sRNA from 1 species